rnacentral:lncRNA from 1 species
AUCACCACAAAUGAACCCCGAAGAUGAACCCCAAUGUGAAUAACAAUCACCAUAAAUGAACCCCCAAGAUGAACCCCGAUGUGAAUAACAAUCACCACAAAUGAACCCCUAAGAUGAACCCCAAUGUGAAUAACAAUCACCACAAAUGAACCCCCAAAGAUGAACCCCGAUGUGAAUAACAAUCACCACUAAUGAACCCCGAAGAUGAACCCCAGAUCAAUAUAGGUGAUACCCAAAUGGAUAACAAUCAAUAACAGAAGAAAUCCCCAAGGUAUAAACAUAC